rnacentral:rRNA from 1 species
GGGAGGUAGUGACAAUAAAUAACAAUACGGGGCUCUUUUGGGUCUCGUAAUUGGAAUGAGUACAAUUUAAAUCUCUUAACGAGGAACAAUUGGAGGGCAAGUCUGGUGCCAGCAGCCGCGGUAAUUCCAGCUCCAAUAGCGUAUAUUAAAGUUGUUGCAGUUAAAAAGCUCGUAGUUGAAUUUCGGGGUCAGUAGGUUGGUCGUGCCUAUGGUAUGUACUGGCUUUACUGAUUCCUCCUUCUUGAAGAACUGUAAUGUCAUUAAUUUGGUGUUGCAGGGAAACAGGACUGUUACUUUGAAAAAUUAGAGUGUUUAAAGCAGGCUAACGCUUGAAUACAUUAGCAUGGAAUAAUGAAAUAGGACGUUCGAUCCUAUUUUGUUGGUUUCUAGGAUUGACGUAAUGAUUAAUAGGGAUAGUUGGG